GGGGCGUAGCAAUACGCUCGCUGGCGACCGGCAAACGGGUGCGGAACACGUACACAACCUUCCUUGAAGUGGGGAAUAGCCCGGGGAAACCCGGAUUAAUACCCCGUAAUAUAAUGAAGCGGCAUCGUUUUAUUAUUAAAGCUCCGGCGCUUUAAGAUGGGUGUGCGACUGAUUAGGCAGUUGGCGGGGUAACGGCCCACCAAACCUACGAUCAGUAACUGGUGUGAGAGCACGACCAGUCACACGGGCACUGAGACACGGGCCCGACUCCUACGGGAGGCAGCAGUAAGGAAUAUUGGUCAAUGGACGCAAGUCUGAACCAGCCAUGCCGCGUGGAGGAUGAAGGUCCUCUGGAUUGUAAACUUCUUUUAUCUGGGAAGAAACCCAUGAAUUCUUUUGUGGUUGACGGUACCAGAUGAAUAAGCACCGGCUAACUCCGUGCCAGCAGCCGCGGUAAUACGGAGGGUGCAAGCGUUAUCCGGAUUCACUGGGUUUAAAGGGUGCGUAGGUGGGUUGGUAAGUCAGUGGUGAAAUCUCCAGGCUUAACUUGGAAACUGCCAUUGAUACUAUCAAUCUUGAAUACCGUGGAGGUCAGCGGAAUAUGUCAUGUAGCGGUGAAAUGCUUAGAUAUGACAUAGAACACCAAUUGCGAAGGCAGCUGGCUACACGGAUAUUGACACUGAUGCACGAAAGCGUGGGGAUCAAACAGGAUUAGAUACCCUGGUAGUCCACGCCCUAAACGAUGGAUACUCGACAUACGCGAUAUACUGUGUGUGUCUGAGCG
rnacentral:rRNA from 1 species